rfam:Octopus bimaculoides Scaffold15260_contig_22, whole genome shotgun sequence.
GACCCGAAAGAUGGCGAUCCACGCCCGGUUGGGACGAAGCCAGAGGACACUCUGGUGGAAGUCUGAAGCGCCUCUGACGUGCAAAUCGAUCAUUGGAACCAGGUGUAGGGGUGAAAGAACAAUCGAGCCGUCUAGUAGCUGG